rnacentral:rRNA from 1 species
GACGAACGCUGGCGGCGUGCUUAACACAUGCAAGUCGAACGGUAAGGCUCUUCGGAGUACACGAGUGGCGAACGGGUGAGUAACACGUGAGCAACCUGCCCUUGACACUGGGAUAACAGUUGGAAACAGCUGCUAAUACCGGAUACGACCCUGAUCGGCAUCGAUCGGGGUGGAAAGCUCCGGCGGUCAAGGAUGGGCUCGCGGCCUAUCAGCUUGUUGGUGAGGUAACGGCUCACCAAGGCUUCGACGGGUAGCCGGCCUGAGAGGGCGACCGGCCACACUGGGACUGAGAUACGGCCCAGACUCCUACGGGAGGCAGCAGUGGGGAAUAUUGCGCAAUGGGCGAAAGCCUGACGCAGCAACGCCGCGUGCGGGAUGACGGCCUCGGUUGUAACGCUUCUAGCAGGACGAAGCAACACGUGACGGUACCGUGCAGAAGAAGACACCGCCGAACUACGUGCCAGCAGCCGCGGUAAACGUACGUACGUACGUACGUCGUAGC